UGAAUAUAAAAAAUAUUGGGUUCCUUUUGGAUUAAUAGGGAAACUGGUGUAAAUCCAGUACAGCCCCCGCUACUGUAAUUGGGACGAAAUCAACUUAUACCACUGAGAAUAUCUCGGGAAGGUGUUGAGAGUAGGAUGAUCAUAAGUCAGGAGACCUGCCUGAUGUUUUUGCUAACU
rnacentral:ncRNA from 2 species